rnacentral:rRNA from 1 species
GACGAACGCUGGCGGCGUGCUUAACACAUGCCAGUCGAACGGAAAGGCCCUGCUUUUGUGGGGUGCUCGAGUGGCGAACGGGUGAGUAACACGUGAGUAACCUGCCCUUGACUUUGGGAUAACUUCAGGAAACUGGGGCUAAUACCGGAUAGGAGCUCCUGCUGCAUGGUGGGGGUUGGAAAGUUUCGGCGGUUGGGGAUGGACUCGCGGCUUAUCAGCUUGUUGGUGGGGUAGUGGCUUACCAAGGCUUUGACGGGUAGCCGGCCUGAGAGGGUGACCGGCCACAUUGGGACUGAGAUACGGCCCAGACUCCUACGGGAGGCAGCAGUGGGGAAUAUUGCACAAUGGGCGGAAGCCUGAUGCAACAACGCCGCGUGCGGGAUGACGGCCUUCGGGUUGUAAACCGCUUUCGCCUGUGACGAAGCGUGAGUGACGGUAAUGGGUAAAGAAGCACCGGCUAACUACGUG